rnacentral:misc_RNA from 1 species
UUUGUUUUUUAAUUAAAAACUAGAAUGAAAGGUUAUACAUUCAAAUUUCUUUAUUAAUUUUUAAUAAAUAAUUUAUAUUAAAUAUAAAAAUGUAUUUAUAAAAAAAAAAGACGACAAGACCCUAUUAAAUUUUACUUAUAGUUUAGCUGGGGAAGCUUUUCAAUUAAAAUUUUUUAAAUUAAAUAAAUAAAAAUCUAAUAAAAUUAAAAUUUUAAUAAAUUACUAUAGGGAUAACAGCAUUAUAUUUUUUAAAAGUUCAUAUUAAAAAAAAUGAUUGUGACCUCGAUGUUGAAUUAUAUUUUCUAUAUUAAAUGCAAUAAUUAUAAAAGUAGAUCUGUUCGAUCUUUAAAAUAUUACAUGAUUUGAGUUCAAACCGGUGUAAACCAGGUUGGUUUCUAUCUUUUUAUAUAUUUUUCCAGUACGAAAGGACAAAAAAAUUUUUAUUUUAAUAAAUUAGCAAAUAAAUGCAUUAGAUUUAGAAUCUAAAUAUAUUUAAUAAUU